rnacentral:rRNA from 1 species
ACCCGUGAAGAAAGCGGAAGGUUCAU